GCGGGUGUGGCGAAACUGGCAGACGCACCAGAUUUAGGUUCUGGCGCCCGAAAGGCGUGGGGGUUCAAGUCCCUUCACCCGCA
rnacentral:tRNA from 1 species